ensembl:lncRNA
UGGGGAUACCCAAAGCUUAUCUGCUCAGAUAAUGGUACCCACUUCGCCAACGCCCACCUUCAAGAGGUGGAAACAUACAUAGGACUCAAACAUAGAUUCGGCUCAGUAUAUCACCCCCAAUCGCAAGGCCUGGUGGAACGAGCAAACCAGACAAUCAAAAAUCAAUUAACAAAAAUACUCAGAAGCAACAGACUGGAGAAAUCUAGGGAGGAGGCAGAAACUCGAACCUUAGGACGCAUGCAGGUGAAUCAGCUGACAGGGAAAGUUAAAGAAAAGACAGCAGGGAAGAAGAUGACCUGGAUAACAGCUCUGCCAUUGGCAUUAAUGGCCAUAAGAUCUUCUCCUUCUAACACCACCCUUCUCAGCCCCCAUGAAUUAGUCACAGGACGUCCCAUGCAAGGACCAUACAGCCCACCAUCCAAAGGACCCCCAUCAGACAGGUUUGAUGAAGUAAUGCAGGAAUACCUGCAAGCACUAACUCAAGCUUCUUUAAAGUUGUAUUCCCAGAUCACAGACCAGAAGCCGUCCGAUCCAGAGGAUCCUUCACCAACGUCGGUGACACCUGGCGAGUGGAUCUGGGUGAAAAAACACCAUCGAAAGACCCUAGAAGACCGGUGGGAGGGGCCAUACAAGGUACUCUUGGCCACACCCUUUUCUGUUUCUGUAGAGGACCGACGUGGGGCCCAGUGGCACCACCUGAGCCGGUGCCGCAAAGCAGAUACUCCUGGCAGAUCGUGGACUGAGACCCUGACCGACCUAGCUGCACUCCAAGCCAAGGACAAACACUCCUCAUCCCAAGACGAUGGGCCACAGCGUGCCCUUGGGAAAGUACCUGGUAGGAUUCCUUCUGGCAGUCCUGUUCCAAGAAGGAGCGGGAGACAACAUCGCCAGGAUGGACCGGGUCUACCAGGCAGAAAAGUACAUGUGCGUAAGUACCAGACGAGACGGUAGCUACAUGAGAGGUUAUUCCUGCGAGGAGUGGUUUCAGGCAUCGUGGCUUACCCAUCCUGGGUACAAAGAGGGCUAUUAUCCCCUGUGGUCCAACUACAAGGAAAUCCAAAAGGGAAUCUCCCUUACCAGAAGAUUAUAUGGCUAUAAGGAAGUCUGGAGCAAUAAUGGUCUAGCAGUCAAAGGAGAGUCAAUAUUCAUAAAGUUAAGGGCAGAUUUACUCAUUCCCGAAAACAGAUCUCAUAAGACAGACAAAGGCCUGGUUUUUCUAAUGUUAAGGGCGGAUACUUAUGGGGAGGACCUAAAAGUAGUUAUCCAUCUAUCAAGAGUUGCAUGCGGGCCCAAUAAAUUUCCAUCUAGAGGGACGUAUGAUUCCUUAG